rnacentral:lncRNA from 1 species
UUGUUAUAGCAAAAUUUAUUAUGCAGUCCGUCGCUUUUAUUUCUUUGCCAUCACAAGAUCGUACAAAGCUUAUUUUUUCUUACAAUAAAAGAUCAUACAUAUUUAGAAGCAAUUUUUAUUGCUUGAUGCACCGAUGAAAACUUACUUGAAAGACCUUACUCAAUCCAUGGGUAGGUAUGAUGGACUCUCAUGACAAGAAAAUGAGUUUCACGGUUAUGGAUGCACAAGUAGUAUCUCUACUUAGUGCGGAAUUUCUUUCGGCUAGAAAAAGAUUUAAAGCAAACACCACAUGUUAAAGGAUUCAAAACCAUAUAACUUCUAUGUGAAUGUAAACUAUCAUAAUCAUUAUGUUGUUUUCAUUUCCAACAUCAACACUUGAUCAUGAGUGGGUGGCAGGUGGAGCUGGUCGUCUGCGAGCACCACGUCGACAGCGUCUCCUUCUCAAGCGGACAACAGCGUCGGGCGUCACACGAUCUCACCGAGGAGCGUUCCUGCCACCAAAUUGAGGCGCCACUAAGGGAAGGAAAGUCGACGGGAGGCUAUGGGAAAUAUUUGCGGUGCUCUGCUCUACUCACCGAAGAGAAUUUAGCCGGGACCUGAGGCGGACGGAGUCGGGGAAGAAGACCUCCCCAAGGUUCUUCUCUCGCUUGGG